GCACUCUCUGCCCUUCAUUGGCUGACUGAGCUGUCAGAUCAGGUUGCCAUGACAAUAAGUUGCCACCCCUUUGCUGGAGGGGAAGGAGACAGGAAGAGAAAAUGGCAGAAAGGAGUCAAAGUCAAAAUUUUGACAAGAACAAAAUCCAAAUGGGCAUCUCAAAUCGUUCUGACGAAACCCAAGCUGCUGCCCCAGAAGAGGUGCCAUCAAUACAGCAGCCUUCUUUGGAAGGCUCAGUGACACAGCCCAGAGCAGACAUCCCUCAGGUGGAAAUGGGAAGGAAGAAAGUAGACGACAUGCGUUUCAUGAUAACUUGUACUAACUGGUAUUAGAAUCCAUGCAAUUAAGUUAAUAAUAAAUCUGGAUAUUUUCUUAUUACUCA